UGCGUAGGCGGGUUUUUAAGUCAGAGGUGAAAUCCUGGAGCUCAACUCCAGAACUGCCUUUGAUACUGAAAGUCUUGAGUAUGGGAGAGGUGAGUGGAACUGCGAGUGUAGAGGUGAAAUUCGUAGAUAUUCGCAAGAACACCAGUGGCGAAGGCGGCUCACUGGCCCAUAACUGACGCUGAGGCAAGACGUGGGGUAGGGCGAAACAA
rnacentral:rRNA from 1 species